GUGAGGAAUUUUCCGCAAUGGGCGAAAGCCUGACGGAGCAAUGCCGCGUGAAGGAUGAAGGCCUAUGGGUUGUAAACUUCUUUUCUUAGAGAAGAAUAUUGACGGUAUCUGAGGAAUAAGCAUCGGCUAACUCUGUGCCAGCAGCCGCGGUAAGACAGAGGAUGCAAGCGUUAUCCGGAAUGAUUGGGCGUAAAGCGUCUGUAGGUGGCUUCAAAAGUCUCCUGUCAAAGAGCAGGGUUUAACCCUGCGCCGGCAGGAGAAACUCUGAGUCUAGAGUUUGGUAGGGGCAGAGGAAAUUCCCGGUGGAGCGGUGACAUGCGUAGAGAUCGGGAGGAACACCAAAGGCGAAAGCACUCUGCUGGGCCACAACUGACACUGAGAGACGAAAGCGAGGGGAGCAAAAGGGAUUAGAAACCCGAGUAGUCC
rnacentral:rRNA from 1 species